rnacentral:rRNA from 1 species
UACGUAGGGACCGAGCGUUGUCCGGAAUCAUUGGGCGUAAAGAGCGUGUAGGCGGCUUGUUAAGUCUUGCGUGAAAUCUCGGGGCUCAACCCCGAGCGGUCGUGAGAAACUGGCAGGCUAGAGUGCGGGAGAGGAGAGUGGAAUUCCUGGUGUAGCGGUGAAAUGCGCAGAUAUCAGGAGGAACACCGGUGGUGUAGACGGCUCACUGGACCGUAACUGACGCUGAGACACGAAAGCGUGGGUAGCAAACAGG